UGGCUUAGAUUUUGGUUUGUUUGGUUUGU
rnacentral:piRNA from 1 species